GUGGGCGCUACUCUCCGUGUUUCUGCCCCCAGGGAGAAGGCUCUGGCCCUCACAGGGAACCAGGGCAUCGAGGCUGCGAUGGACUGGCUUAUGGAGCACGAAGACGACCCCGAUGUGGACGAGCCUCUAGAGACUCCCCUCGGCCAUAUCCUGGGACGGGAACCCACGUCCUCAGAGCAAGUUGGCCCUGAAGGAUCUGGGUCUGCUGCUGAAGAAAGCAAACCCAUUUUGACUGAAGAGGAGAGGCAAGAA